rnacentral:rRNA from 3 species
AGAUGUGAUCAUACCAGCACUAAAGCACCAGAUUCCAUUAGAACUCUGAAGUUAAGUUUUCUUGGGCGAGAGUAGUAUUAGGAUGGGUGACCUCCUGGGAGGUCCUCAUGUUGUUGCAUUUU